GAUGAAGAACGCAGCGGAAUGCGAUAAGUAGUGUGAAUUGCAGAAUUCAGUGAAUCAUCGAAUCUUUGAACGCACAUUGCGCCCUUUGGUAUUCCUUAGGGCAUGCCUGUUCGAGCGUCAUUUAAACCUUCAAGCUCAGCUUGGUGUUGGGUGACUGUCCGCCGCCUCCGGGCGGUCGGACUCGCCUCAAAUUGAUUGGCGGCCGGUACUUUGGCUUCGAGCGCAGCAGAAACGCGAACUCGAGGCCGUCGUCCUGGCUCCCAGAAGCUAUCUUCACAAUUUUGACCUCGGAUCAGGUAGGGAUACCCGCUGAACUUAAGCAUAUCAAUAAGCGGAGGA
rnacentral:misc_RNA from 1 species